GAUGAGUCUUACAGCUUCUGCCUGAGUCUCUUGGAGUGUUUACUUCUUGGAUGCUCCUGCUGUUAUUCUGAGAGGAUUUUAAACCAAACAGAGGGGCCAAGGGAAUUAGUAAAUAAGCUGAAAAUGUGAAGUCAUGCAAAGAUUUGUUUGAAAAGCAAAACGUUUCAAUAAAAGGUCUUCCUGGAUUAAGAAUCUAAGUAUGAUUUUCAUGAACCACCACCACUAAAGAUCAGAUAAUAUUAUUCAUGCUGCAAUUUGAAAGGGAAGCAAGAGGAAAAUCAGACCGACUCUGCCACUGCAUAAAAUCACCCCCCUGGGAAUGAACAAAGCAUUCCGAGAAUGAGAAAUGGAAUAUUGGUGACUUCCUGGCUAACAGUUCCAUCUAGAGUGAACUGCGGUCAUGAUUUUCCAAUAACAGCCUGUUACUAAACCAAGAGAGGGAACCAACAAUGCCUGAGAAGAUUUGCAAGAACUUUGCCCAGCUGAGGCCCUUAAUGGAUGCAAUGAGGACAACUAACUCAAUCAAAUUCUCUUUUUGAAAGAAGAAUAAACUCUAAGUAAAGGGAAAGCUAUGGCAAUCAUGAGAAGACCUUGGGUUUUGACAGUAGAGACCUAGGACAGAAGUGGCCUGGACUGCUGAGUUGGAAUGCUGCUCAAACUCAAAAGGUGAUUUGUGGAAAAAGAAGCCCUCAUUAUGUUAAGACAGCUAAAGCACCAAGCUGUGAGGGUUGUACACUGCCCAGCCUAACUUUGCUUAUCCUGUCUAGGACAUGUCUCCAUUACAGAUCAUCCUCUCUGCCCCAGUGCUACUCUAAACAAGUUAUCUCCAGACUUGCACACAUGAAACCAUCAUUAUGCUUAUCUAAACAAAAGGGGCCUCCUUAGAAUGGAAUCUCUCGUUUGUGUGUACACAUAUGUAUCUGUAAGCAAUAGAACAUUUGGUAAUUAUUCUACUGAUAAUUCUGUGAAUGUCUUUUAUUGAAUCAGAGAAGAAGUUUCUUGAAGAUGACGGGUUCUGUAGAUAAGUUUCAAGCAAUAUGAAUCCCCUGAAAUGAUGACCUUUUUUAGUUGUUGUCUAUGCAUAGGUGCAUCUCAUCUCUAGUUUUUAUCAUAUUUUCAAAGAAGUCCUUUAAAAAAAAUCUAGGAACCUCUAGUGAAGGAAUAACAUAAUUUAGGAAAGGGGAGAACUUACAGUGGGGUCCAGAUUCCAGCUCUGAUACUUGCUGGUUGUGCUAUAUAUUCUUACCACUGUCCUAGAUUUAGCAAGAUUAGAAGAAUUGAUUACUCACUCUAGCUGAUUUAUAAUAAUCUGAGGUAUAUCAACCGGAAUAAAAUUAACUAAUUUAAAUAGCACUACAUCAAGUCAGUAGAUAGGAUAAUUUUAGGGCAGAACAUUUUCCUAUUUGCCUGUUCUCUCCAUUUAAGCAAAUUACAGAAGUCAGAUUAUCAACACAUUUGUUGCUAAGAAACCAGUCUUCACAAGAGAUAUUGCUGUUACAUGGACUCCAUAGUUCAGUUGGUCUGGAAAAUACCUUUUCCCUUGGAUCAUGUUUGAAUAGGCAAGACCAUAACUGCCUCCCAUCUCCCUUCCUCUUUCUCUUCCUCUUCUCCAUCUCUUCCCCUUCUCUUUCUUCUCUAUUUCUGAGGCUGACCAAUACUUAUUCUGGAAGAUUCAGUGUAUAGACUACAGCCAAGCCUUCAAAGGCCUGGAUGCCAUUCCAUAAUUUUUGUAUCUCUGCUCAGAUCUGAUGAGCUGAUGUAUAAUAUAUAUACCACUCAGAGGGUUAUAGUAUUUCCAAGAUAUGGGGUAUAGCCUCAUUAUUGUGCCCCCCACUAACUAUCUUAUUUCUAGGCACAGAUAAUACUUAAAGGAUAAUUUUUUCAUUAUAAGUAUCUCAAACUUUGAUACCAUAUAAUCUUUUAUCAGAUAUAUAUGUAAUAUAUAUCACAGAGAUAUGAGAUAUAUAUCUGAUAAAAGAUCAGAUAAAAGAUAUCACAUAUCAUAUAUCUGUGAUAUAUAUAUCAUAUAUCUCUGCCUUAGGAUGAAUGUAAAAAUAUGUUUUAAAAGUAUUUCUCUCAUUCUUUAUAAUAUAAAAUUUGACAAUGUAAAAAUAUUUACUCAAUUUUAAUAAAAAUUGGAAAAGCG